rnacentral:rRNA from 1 species
GUCCACGCCGUAAACGAUGGAUACUAGCUGUUGGAAGCAAUUUCAGUGGCUAAGCGAAAGUGAUAAGUAUCCCACCUGGGGAGUACGUUCGCAAGAAUGAAACUCAAAGGAAUUGACGGGGCCCGCACAAGCGGUGGAGCAUGUGGUUUAAUUCGAUGAUACGCGAGGAACCUUACCAAGGCUUAAAUGUAGAUUGACCGGUUUGGAAACAGAUCUUUCGCAAGACAAUUUACAAGGUGCUGCAUGGUUGUCGU